UACGAGAGGUGCGAGCGUUAUUCGGAAUUAUUGGGCGUAAAGGGGUGCGCAGACGGUUUUGUCAAGUCAAUUGUUUUAAUUCCUCGGCCUAACUGAGGAUCAGCAGUAGAAAACUGAUAAGCUAGAGUAUGAAAGAGGGAAGUGGAAUUCUCGGAGUAGCGGUAAAAAUGCGUAGAUCUCGAGAGGAACACCGAUGGCGAAGGCAGCUUCCUGGUUCAUUACUGACGUUCAUGCACGAAAGCGUGGGGGAGCAAACAGG
rnacentral:rRNA from 1 species